CCUACGGGUGGCAGCAGUGAGGAAUAUUGGUCAAUGGACGAGAGACUGAACCAGCCAAGUAGCGUGAAGGAUGACUGCACUAUGGGUUGUAAACUUCUUUUAUAUGGGAAUAAAAUGUUGCACGUGUGGGAGUUUGUAUGUACCAUAUGAAUAAGGAUCGGCUAACUCCGUGCCAGCAGCCGCGGUAAUACGGAGGAUCCGAGCGUUAUCCGGAUUUAUUGGGUUUAAAGGGAGCGUAGGUGGGUUGUUAAGUCAGUUGUGAAAGUUGGGGGCUCAACCGUAAAAUUGCAGUUGAAACUGGCAGUCUUGAGUACAGUAGAGGUGGGCGGAAUGCGUGGUGUAGCGGUGAAAUGCUUAGAUAUCACGAAGAACUCCGAUUGCGAAGGCAGCUCGCUGGACUGCAACUGACACUGAGGCUCGAAAGUGUGGGUAUCAAACAGGAUUAGAUACCCCUGUAGUC
rnacentral:rRNA from 1 species